AGUUCUCAAACCUUUUCUGGCUUUUUUCGCAAGCUUAAAGCUAGUUCAGGCUUGGACGGGUGGGAGUUUGCUGGCUUUUUCACAUGUCGGCUCUCCUUAAAUGCAUUAGCAGAGACUAUCGCGGAUCGCUCUCUCUGGUAUGAUAAUUAUCUAUACCAUGGGAGGAUCCAGAUUCCCCCUUUGCGGGAAGACUUUGCUUCUAACCGGGUCUCUCUAUUGAGACAAUGCUUGACCAU
rnacentral:misc_RNA from 1 species